AGAACAUUUCUAAAAAUCAUGGGCAUUAAUGUGCAGCUGAAGGUUCUUUUGGAUAAAACAGGUGACCCAUCCCUGCAGCAGCAGCUACUUCGGGGGUACAAUAUGUUAAUGAAUCCUCAGAAGAUGGGAGAGAGAUUUACUUCUUUGCCUUGCUGCCUCAUCAGAGACUUCAUGUGGGAAGUCAAGGAAGGAAUGCCUGCCAGUCAGAAGCCCCCUCAUCCUCUGUACCUGGGUUUGAUGAACUUGUUUGGCAGUAAUAUUUCAGCUACCUUGACUAUCAAAAUAAAAGAAAUUCACUUUGCAUAGUGAAAAAAAAAAAGGGGUCUCUCUUUCUGGUUUCCUGCUUGGCAAUAUGGAUUCUUCCAAAUACAUGUGCCUCCACUGUGAUGUGAUUUUUAUCCCUAUAGAACCAAUGCAUGUAACAGGUCUUUGAGCCUCCCAGACUGUGGGCUCCAUAAACCUUCCUGCUUUGUAAAAGGUCUUGUGUAUUUCAUUAAAGUAACGAAAAGUUAGCUGACACAAGGAA
rnacentral:lncRNA from 1 species